rnacentral:rRNA from 1 species
UACGUAGGGGGCAAGCGUUAUCCGGAUUUACUGGGUGUAAAGGGAGCGUAGACGGUUAUGCAAGUCUGGAGUGAAAGGCGGGGGCUCAACCCCCCGGACUGCUCUGGAAACUGUAGAACUAGAGUGCAGGAGGGGUAAGUGGAAUUCCUAGUGUAGCGGUGAAAUGCGUAGAUAUUAGGAGGAACACCAGUGGCGAAGGCGACUUUCUGGACUGGUACCUGACGCUGAGGCGCGAAAGCGUGGGUAGCAAACAGG